rnacentral:pre_miRNA from 1 species
GAGACAGCAUUAUGGGGCAAGACUUGCUUCAGUGGGGCUUUGGUGCUCACUGAGUCUGCCUUCUGAGUGUGUCCCU